rnacentral:miRNA from 2 species
AGUAAAUGCCACUGAGAUUAGA